rnacentral:rRNA from 1 species
AGAGUUUGAUCCUGGCUCAGGACGAACGCUGGCGGCGCGCCUAACACAUGCAAGUCGAACGGAGCUGAGAGGAGCUUGCUUUUCUUAGCUUAGUGGCGAACGGGUGAGUAACGCGUGAGUAACCUGCCCUGGAGUGGGGGACAACAGUUGGAAACGACUGCUAAUACCGCAUAAGCCCACGGCCCGGCAUCGGGCUGCGGGAAAAGGAUUUAUUCGCUUCAGGAUGGACUCGCGUCCAAUUAGCUAGUUGGUGAGGUAACGGCCCACCAAGGCGACGAUUGGUAGCCGGACUGAGAGGUUGAACGGCCACAUUGGGACUGAGACACGGCCCAGACUCCUACGGGAGGCAGCAGUGGGGGAUAUUGCACAAUGGGGGAAACCCUGAUGCAGCGACGCCGCGUGGAGGAAGAAGGUUUUCGGAUUGUAAACUCCUGUCGUUAGGGACGAUAAUGACGGUACCUAACAAGAAAGCACCGGCUAACUACGUGCCAGCAGCCGCGGUAAAACGUAGGGUGCAAGCGUUGUCCGGAAUUACUGGGUGUAAAGGGAGCGCAGGCGGACCGGCAAGUUGGAAGUGAAAACUAUGGGCUCAACCCAUAAAUUGCUUUCAAAACUGCUGGCCUUGAGUAGUGCAGAGGUAGGUGGAAUUCCCGGUGUAGCGGUGGAAUGCGUAGAUAUCGGGAGGAACACCAGUGGCGAAGGCGACCUACUGGGCACCAACUGACGCUGAGGCUCGAAAGCAUGGGUAGCAAACAGGAUUAGAUACCCUGGUAGUCCAUGCCGUAAACGAUGAUUACUAGGUGUUGGAGGAUUGACCCCUUCAGUGCCGCAGUUAACACAAUAAGUAAUCCACCUGGGGAGUACGACCGCAAGGUUGAAACUCAAAGGAAUUGACGGGGGCC